rnacentral:rRNA from 1 species
CAGUCGCCGCGGGAAAACAGAGGAUGCAAGCGUUAUCCGGAAUGAUUGGGCGUAAAGGGCUCGCAGGCGGUUUCUUAAGUCUGAUGUGAAAGCCCCCGGCUCAACCGGGGAGGGUCAUUGGAAACUGGGAAACUUGAGCGCAGAAGAGGAGAGUGGAAUUCCACGUGUAGCGGUGAAAUGCGUAGAGAUGUGGAGGAACACCAGUGGCGAAGGCGACUCUCUGGUCUGUAACUGACGCUGAGGAGCGAAAGCGUGGGGAGCGAACAGGAUUAGAUACCCCUGUAGUCCCUGUCUCUUAUAC